rnacentral:rRNA from 1 species
GAUGAACGCUGGCGGCGUGCCUAAUACAUGCAAGUCGAGCGGUAAGGCUUUCACAGAUUAUUUAACCAGAUAAGCUCUUCGGAAAACUGUUUGCAGCGAUGAUUCCCCGGCUAGGGAAUCAGAGUUGAAUAAUGCGUGAAAGUACACGAGCGGCGGACGGCUGAGUAACACGUAGGAACGUACCCCAAAGUGAGGGAUAAGCACCGGAAACGGUGUCUAAUACCGCAUGUGAUCUUCGGAUUUAAAGCUUCGGCGCUUUGGGAACGGCCUGCGCAUGAUUAGCUUGUUGGUGAGGUAAAAGCUCACCAAGGCGACGAUCAUUAGCUGGUCUGAGAGGAUGAUCAGCCAGACUGGGACUGAGAACGGCCCAGACUCCUACGGGAGGCAGCAGUAGGGAAUUUUCCACAAUGGACGAAAGUCUGAUGGAGCAACGCCGCGUGCAGGAUGAAGGUUUCGGCUCGUAAACUGCUUUA